rnacentral:lncRNA from 1 species
GUGGACACAAAGGAGGGCCACCACCAAUUUUUAAUAAAUUGCCAAAGCCAGGAUUUGAACUCAAGACCUUAACUCUGAUACCAUGUUAAGCUUCAUGCACUAGACAACGCAACCAAAAGUACGAAAUAAUAAAAAAAGCUAAUGCAAUCCAUGUAUACUGUAACAGUUCUCAUUUAUCAGUUUGUGAUGGAUCUUCUUCGUAUGGCAGCAGACCCAAAAAGGGGCAUGUAUAUAUGAAUCUUAGGUAUCUUCGCAGGUGAUUGGAAAAUGGCCAAAUCAGCAAGGUUCCAGGCAACCCUGUAAAGACAGAAGGAAUGAGCUGAUGAGCAGAAGGCAAAGUGUCACACUUCCGUAGCUGGGAAUUCUGUCUAUUUCUCCCUCCCUGCACUCUUUCUUGUUUGCUUCGUUCCGUUGGAUUCAGAUAAAAGAUCGAGCGACGGAGCGAGUCCCCGCACUGCAACAAUAGAUGCUUGUUGCUGGGUAAACAUACAUGAUGGAGUGUAGCAACUCUGCGUGAGCUCAUGUUUCCUUCCGCGUGAUCACUGCCUCAGAUUUUUCCUUUCUUAGGCGAAUUCACCACAAGUACAGAACCACAUCCCAAGCAAACAGGCCUUGAAAGAGAAAUCUGAAGCAUACGUGUGUUAGUGACACCGGUUUUGCAGUGGUAACUACUGUAGUACGCGACCUGAAGAUACCUAGAUGACAGGAACUCGGUUGUUUCUCCAUGGGAGUGUCACCUCACCUCAACGUUUGUGGAAGUUAUACUGAAGGUGGCAUUUCAUUUUAUCUACAUAACAUGAUAUGAUGCGGCAUGGCAUGGAGGAAACAGCGACGCGGCAACUUGCAAACCACAAGGUUGAGCGUUCACACACUACAAUUGCAG